CAUGCUAGCCGGGGACGGUGACGUCAGUAAUUUUGCGCUGUGUCUUCAAUCAAGAUGGCUACGGAGGCCUCUCCGCAAGCAAUUGGAUAAGAGUCCAUGGUUGACGAGAUCCUUGGAGUUGUUCAUAGGAUUCCUCCUAUUCAGGAAAGAAGAAAGAAGAAAACUG